UAAGUGGAAACAAGAUCUGGAAAAGGAAAAAGACAGGAUCAAUAAACUGACCGAGCAAAUAAAACAAGAAGAAGAGAAAGAAAAGCAGUUAAAGUUCAGACUUGGUGAAAAAGACGAGGAACUCAAUAAG